GUGGGGAAUAUUGCACAAUGGGCGCAAGCCUGAUGCAGCAACGCCGCGUGAGGGAUGACGGCCUUCGGGUUGUAAACAUCUUUUAGUAGGGAAGAAGCGUAAGUGACGGUACCUGCAGAAAAAGCACCGGCUAACUACGUGCCAGCAGCCGCGGUAAUACGUAGGGUGCAAGCGUUGUCCGGAAUUAUUGGGCGUAAAGAGCUCGUAGGCGGCUUGUCGCGUCUGCCGUGAAAACCCAGGGCUCAACUCUGGGCGUGCGGUGGGUACGGGCAGGCUAGAGUGCGGUAGGGGAGAUUGGAAUUCCUGGUGUAGCGGUGGAAUGCGCAGAUAUCAGGAGGAACACCGAUGGCGAAGGCAGAUCUCUGGGCCGUAACUGACGCUGAGGAGCGAAAGCAUGGGGAGCGAACAGGAUUAGAAACCCGAGUAGUCC
rnacentral:rRNA from 1 species